AGAGUUUGAUCCUGGCUCAGGAUGAACGCUAGCUACAGGCUUAACACAUGCAAGUCGAGGGGAACGGACAUCGAAAGCUUGCUUUUGAUGGGCGUCGACCGGCGCACGGGUGAGUAACGGCGUAUCCAACCUGCCACCACUUGGGAUAACCUUGCGAAAGUAGACUAAUACCCAAUGACGUCUCUAGAAGACAUCUGAAGGAGAUUAAGAUUUAUCGGUGAUGGAGUGGGAUGCGUCUGAUUAGNUUGUUGGCGGGGUAACGGCCGACCAACGGCGACGAGUCAGUACGGGGUUCUUGUAGAGGAAGGUACCCCGACCGACUUGGUAACUGGUACGUACGACCGGUACCAAACC
rnacentral:rRNA from 1 species